rnacentral:rRNA from 1 species
CAAUAGCGUAUAUUAAAGUUGUUGCAGUUAAAAAGCUCGUAGUUGGAUUUGUGGCUGUCACGGGCGGCCUAUCACUUAGUGUUAGUGCUUGCCUGUGUCGCCAUCCUUGGGUGGAGCCCGUGUGGCAUUAGGUUGUCGUGCGGGGGAUGCCCAUCGUUUACUGUGAGAAAAUUAGAGUGUUCAAAGCAGGCUUAUGCCAUUGAAUAUGUUAGCAUGGAAUAAUAAGAUAGGACCUCGGUACUAUUUUGUUGGUUUGCGCACCGAGGUAAUGAUUAAUAGGGACAGUUGGGGGUAUUCGUAUUUCAUUGUCAGAGGUGAAAUUCUUGGAUUUCUGAAAGACGAACUACUGCGAAAGCAUUUACCAAGGACGUUUUCAUUAA